AAAUUUUAGGUCAUUUGAACACUACAACAGAAUUAGGUUAUAGGGACACAUGUUUGAGACACUUUUGAGUAAGUGUCCUAUUUAUGCUAAAACUUAAAAACACAUCUACUAAUGUUUAAAUAUAAAGCCCAAUCCAACCAAAAAUAAAAGAUUACUCUACUCAACCGACCACACCCAGUCCAUUUGGCCCGAUUACAAGAAAAAAAAAAAAAAAAAAAGAAAAAUCAAUUAUCAUCUUUUCUUUUCUCUUCAUUCAAUCCACUGAAAUUCUAGACAAAGAGCUUUUACUGUCGUCCUCCUCCGCCACCGCAGCCAACAAGAUAGAGUUUCGACGGUUGCUAAAUGCUUAAAUAAGUGUUGGUAAAUUAGCAGCACUCUUUUAGGUUAUAGCGACACUCUUUAACUGUCACUAUAUACCUAGCGACCCCACAUAUAGCAAAAUUUUUUAAAAGUAUCGGUAAUUUUAGCUAGCAACACUUUUUUGACAUGUACUUACAUUUAAAAGUGUCGUUAUAGACUGUUUUUGUUGUAGUGGAAUGAAAUAAUAUUAAUAAAAUAAUUAGAAGUUAAG
rnacentral:lncRNA from 1 species